rfam:Burkholderiales bacterium RIFCSPLOWO2_02_FTLL_67_64 rifcsplowo2_02_scaffold_2959, whole genome shotgun sequence.
GCAACCUCAAGCUGGCACACGGGAACGUCGUUGUGUUCCGCUCGCUGCUCGGCAUCAGCUGGAUGUGGUUCUUCGGCGCCGUGUUCCUGAGCCAGUUCCCCAGCUUCGCGCGCGACGUGCUG